GGAAGGGUGGCUGAGUGGCCUAAAGCGGCACGCUGCUAAUGUGUUAGGGGAGAAAUCCCCUCCAGGGUUCGAAUCCCUGCCCUUCCGCCU
rnacentral:tRNA from 3 species